rnacentral:misc_RNA from 1 species
AAGUCGUAACAAGGUUUCCGUAGGUGAACCUGCGGAAGGAUCAUUAAAAAAUGAGGUAUUUUAUACCUCUUGUAUUUAAAACCCAACUCUAAAAAUAUAAAUUUUUUUUUAAAAAAAAAAAAACUUUCAACAAUGGAUCUCUUGGCUCUC